UGGGGAAUCUUGCGCAAUGGGCGAAAGCCUGACGCAGCAACGCCGCGUGCGGGAGGAAGGCCUUCGGGUUGUAAACCGCUUUCAGGAGGGACGAAGCUACCUGGGUUAAUAGCCCGUGGGGUGACGGCACCUCCAGAAGAAGCCCCGGCUAACUACGUGCCAGCAGCCGCGGUAAUACGUAGGGGGCAAGCGUUGUCCGGAUUUAUUGGGCGUAAAGAGCGUGUAGGCGGUUUGGUAGGUCCGCUGUGAAAACUCGAGGCUCAACCUCGAGACGCCGGUGGAAACCAUCAGGCUAGAGUCCGGAAGAGGAGAGUGGAAUUCCUGGUGUAGCGGUGAAAUGCGCAGAUAUCAGGAAGAACACCCGUGGCUAAGGCGGCUCUCUAGUACGGUACUGACGCUGAGACGCGAAAGCGUGGGGAGCGAACAGGAUUAGAUACCCGCGUAGUCC
rnacentral:rRNA from 1 species